CUACGGGGUGCACCAGUGAGGAAUAUUGGUCAAUGGGCGCAAGCCUGAACCAGCCAAGUAGCGUGAAGGAUGACUGCCCUCUGGGUUGUAAACUUCUUUUAUAGGGGAAUAAAGUGCGCCACGUGUGGCGUUUUGUAUGUACCCUACGAAUAAGGACCGGCUAACUCCGUGCCAGCAGCCGCGGUAAUACGGAGGGUCCGAGCGUUAUCCGGAUUUAUUGGGUUUAAAGGGUGCGCAGGCGGGAUGAUAAGUCAGUUGUGAAAGUUGGACGCUCAACGUUCAAAUUGCAAUUGAAACUGUCAUGCUUGAGUGCAGUGGAGGUAAGUGGAAUUCGUGGUGUAGCGGUGAAAUGCUUAGAUAUCACGAAGAACUCCGAUUGCGAAGGCAACUUGCUAUACUGCAACUGACGCUCAUGCACGAAGGUGUGGGUAUCAAACAGGAUUAGAUACCCGCGUAGUC
rnacentral:rRNA from 1 species